GUUUUUUUGAUGUUUUUAUUUUGUCACUCAGCUUCCUCUCUUGUUCCUGACAGACGAUGAAACCUUCAGCAACGUUUUAAGAUGAUUGGCUCACAGAAAACGGUAUCACCAUAGAUGCUCCCGAUGGUGCCAUUGGGCUCCUCCAAAACCGAGGCCACGGUCGAAAACCUGCUUUUGUUCGGGAAGGUUCCUCACUGAGGGAGAUGGACCGAAGUACCUGAGCGGCUGCCGUGACAACAGCUGUCUGAAUUCUCCUAAUAUGAAGGAAAGGUGGAGACGACUUGAGCUCCAAGUCGUUCGAAGAUUUCAUCGACGAUGAUCCAGCCGGUCCACUCCCACCAUGGUCCAGAGGUUUGCAGGGAGACAUCAUGCGUAACAUGAAAGUGGAGGACCAGAUUAAGUCAAGAGCUGCUGGAGAAGAAAGACCACCUGA